rnacentral:misc_RNA from 1 species
GAAAUCAUGUUGUUACAGAUUGUUUUCAAGUGAAUGUUAUAAGUUUCCAUGCUUUCUGUGAGCAUUUUAGGUUACUGUUUGGUGUGACUGCCAACCAGAUUUAUAAACAAUAAACCAUGGUUUAAAACCACAUGUACGAAGGCUGUGCAAACUGUGCAUUUUUUAUUGCAGAAAAAGACUGCAUUAAUUGCUCAUUAUUUGUCUGCAUGGUUAGUUGUUGUCAGAAAGAAUGUAUCAUGAAAUGAUUGAUGAUGUUUCUAAUUACUGAUUGAUGAAAACCUCUGGUGCUAUUAAACCUUGCUGGACUCUUUCAUAACCAGAAUGAACAAGUUGAAAAACCACUUGGUAAUUAGCAAACAACAAACCAUAGAAUGUAUGUUGUGUAUGUAUGUUGGAUAUUGCAGUUUUUGGUGCAAUUCAUUGCUAUAAUUUAUUUAUUUUAUUUUGGAGACAUACUGCCUACUAUAUGAUAUGCAAGUGUAAAUUGUUUCUUAUUAAUAUUUUUGUAUAUUUCAUGACUAUUAUUUCUGAUGUGAUAAUAGAAUCUUCAGAAAAAAAUUAUAUGAAUCUAUAAAUCUGUCUUUAACAAUGUGAUUUAUAAGCACAAUACAUUGUUAAAUGAUUUAGUAGGAAAGUUCUCUGUUGGUAUAUGUAAAUUUUACAAAGUUUAAAUAUAGUAUAAUAGAAAACUCUGGUUAUUUUCUGUUACCGUGAAUGUCUCUGAUAAACUUGCAUUAUGUCAUUGAUUUCAAGUGCCCCUGUCUUGGUUUGUCAUUAUUUUGCCGUUAGACCUCUGUAAAUAGUCAAUAAUCAGACGGACGUCUGAUUCCAAAAGCUUUCUUUUCACAUUGUCAAAUGUCUUGAUUUAUAUGCUACUGAUUUUUCAAACUAAGGGGUUGUAAAUGAAAAGAAGAAACAUUAAAUUGCAAUUGAAAA